CAGGAAACAAACGCCUGAAGCAGAAGUUUCUCCAGUCCUUACUCCUGUUCUUUCCCUUUUCAGCAUGCUUCUGCGAGGAUUUUACAGAGGAGACUUCUGACCUGCAACCCGGCACUUAACUUGUCUUUCCCGUGUCUUCUCCUCUCCCCCAGAUGACAGAUGGCUGGUGUCAGCAAGAGACUUUUAAGCAAAGGAAUUUAUAGAAUACAACAGGAAGCAGAGGGAAACUUUAGCAACUGAAUGAUCAUUGCAAAAGGUUAAAGGAAGAGAAGCAUUUCUGAAGACACGGUAGACCAGAAAUGGUUUGUGUGCCCCUGUAGAGAAAGCCCCAGACCAACACUAAUUGUUUGCAGGUUGUGGCAGCUAGAUGAGAAGCCCAGGGAUACCUCCAAACUCCCCAGGGGAGCCAAUGUCAAGUGAAGGCUCAAAAUCACUGAUCUGCUUUAGUUUGUCAAGAUCUGGGGGUCAUCACAGAAUGAAUCGACAGAGAAUCAAAAGGGAUUAAGCACCAAGACCCAGGACUUCACUGCCUGAGGAUGCAAUGGACAACUCUGGCCGCCUGGACAGCACACACCAAAUGUGCCCAAUGCUCCCUACAUAGAAGGAUUAUCUGAGGGAAGGUCAGAUCUCUCUAGGGCAACAACAACUGCACCCAUCCUUCUGUCUGCAACAUCCCAAAUUUCCUACCUUUGCCUCCCUGUAUACUCAGGAUGGUCCUGAAAGCAGAGGGGCUAUUGCAUCAGGUGAGUCUCGUGCAGUUGAGUCAGCUGCAAAUACUACCCAUGGAAGGGAAGAGAGAUAACUUUAACUAUGGAGUUUCUUAAUCUGACAACAAAGCCUUCCAUACAUUUGGAAGUUGAAGCAAUUCAGAUAGACAUAUGCCAAAAAUGUUUAAGUAGGAGGGUCAUACAUUGUUUUUACCUGGGGGGCUGCCUCCAUUUCAGAAUUCAAAUAAAGAUCUGAGUAUCUUUUUCAGUGAAUAAAUGUUUGGCCUUGAUCAAGGCAUUUCUGUGUAAAAUAGUUUGUGUGCAGAGACUGUGUAUCACCACAUGUAAAAUCCAGGCAGCCCAGACAGACAGGCUUCAGCAAACCUUUCUGCUGUGUUCAAGGAGCGCUUGCCCCUAGCUGUUCUCUCCACCUCACUGCCAGGGGUUGCCAAGCCUGUCACGGGGCUUGCAGAAAGGAGUUUGCCACUAACAUAUAAAAUGUCUUGAAUUGUCAUAAACUGUCAAUUAUAACGAGUGUACCCAGGACCUGGCACAGAGGAUUCAGCCUAAUGAUUCCUGUGAGCAUGUAAGCUUCAGCAGAGGAGCUAGGAUGGAAGAGAGGAGCCACAGCUGGAGAGAAGUAACUUAAACCAAAGGCAGGGGACUAAUCAGAGUGCAUUUGCGAGUGUCCUCAGAUGGUUCACAAAGUGGUCUGGCUUUUAGCUGUCAUAAAACGUGUUGUGUGAGUGUAGGAUAAUUACCAUUAAAUGGCUGAAAAAAAAAUCCAAAGUUUAAUUAGUUUUGUAUGAAACUAGACCCAGUUUUAGCUGAAUCUUCCUGAGUGCAAAUGAGUUUCAGAUUCAAGGUUGAUAUUGUUCAUCAUGGAAAGUUAUGUAUAGAUAUUAGCAACAUUACUUAAAUGCUACAGAAUUAAGAGAAAUAAACUUCAGCUCACUGUGAAAUAUGUGCACUGCACUGAACGUGGUCUUACCCCAACGUAUUUUUUAUUCCCUCGGUUUUCAUUUUAUAGACGUUUUAUUUCAGGAACAGGAACAUUCAUGAGAAACAUGGGAAUGGGUCCCAGAAAGAGGAUAUUUUCCCUUGUUUUCCUGUGUAAUAUAAGAGGAGGAGAAAUGAAAACAAUGAGCAGCCAAGCUGCACCCUUUUGCUCUGCACAACUUCCUGAAAUUUCUCCUGAGCAAGAUAAACUGUGCUACAGCAAAAAAACAGCUCACGGUUAAAUGGCAUCUGUUAGUUGUGCUGCAGAACUCCAAAACAGUCGCAUUUUCACCCCCAUCUGCUUCUUUAGGAUAAAUUGCUUUGUUACCCAGGUGUAUAAUUAGAUAUAAAGGGGCAAUUUAAGACGAACGUCCUCCUAGCUUUUACUAGCCUCACCAGAGAAACAAUAGAAGUCCUGUUUUAACCUAAGGAAGGACGAAAAGCACUAAAAGCUGCACAGGAAACAACCCAGGAUUGCAUGGGCUUGGGGCUGAAUGUUUUGAAGGCUGCAAGCAGAUGUCUCCGCGGGAAGCAGCAGAACCAGCUGCUCUUCGCUGCCGCCCUUGAGCAGAAGCCGACCUUCACCCGUGGCAGCGCGUGUGUGUCAGGGCCCUGCCGGCCCCGCCAGCCAGACCGACCAGGUCAGAUUAACCAGUUUGAACCGCGCGUUUGCAAUAAGCCACGGGAACUUUCCUGAAGGGGAUUAGCGAGUUCCUGCAGAGCCUGCCCUGAUCUGACAGCGGCUCUCAGGGCAGCCCUGGCAUCGGAGCAGCGACAAGCAGCUGAGAAGGGGGAACGUCUUCAUCGGACUCUGACCGAGAAUGCCGCAGACAGAGCGGCACUCGGCAUGGGGCAUUGCCAGCAGGUUUCCAUUCCCAGCCCAGCUGCAGCUGCCCGUCACUGCCUCCGGCCAGUGCCCAGAGGAAUAAAAUCGGGGCUCUGCGUCACCGGGUCGGAGCACGCAGAAGGCUCUGGCAAGGCAGAGAGGACGACCCACUGACAGGGGCCCCGAGGGAAUUGCCAAACCCCAAAGGCGAUGACUGUCUGCAGUCUAAGAAGCUCUUCCCUUCCCCAAGUCUGGAUCUGUUUUCACUUUAAGCCAGUUUUACAUUCUGGACUGAACUGGGGUUUAGAUGUAUUUUAUGUGGCCUACGCCACCCACUGUGUCUCAUCAGGGAUGACAGUUCCUGCCACAAGUAGUUUACAGCUCAAGAGUGACUGCAGAUUCCCAGAGACCAGAGCAAAGCCUGCUCGCUUCUUUCUUUCCACGAUUUUUCCCAUGACUGGCCAGAUCACUCGGCAGCUCUUAGGCCCCUUCCCUGCCUCGUGGCAACAUCAGCUCCUCCAUACAGGCUGAACAGGCUUUCCGCACUUUCUUUGGAGUCUGGAACGUCUUUAUGAAUCUCAGAGCUAUGCAAAAGGUACAGGGAGCUUGUGCAACCCUGCUGGCUGCUGCCACCACCCAGGACAAGGGGCGAUGGUCUGCGAAAAUGACAAAGCAGGAGGUGGUGGCAACAGUGUCCAGAAGGAACCUCAGCAGAGGGGGGAGUUGUAGCAGCCACCACGUCUUGCCACAUCUCUGCUCAGGGCACCUCGUUUUCUCAGACUUGCUGCUUGCAUCCUGCUGCCACCGGUCUGUACAAUUCCACAAAUUAAAGGGAUUUUGCUUGUUUGUUUGUUUUUCCCAGGUGAAUCUAAGGGAGUUAGGAACACAAUUCCCAAGACCUUCGCUUCCCCAGCCCGUCAUCUACAUGCAGAUUACUGCUCUGUGUGCAUACAGAGCAUGCAGAGCUAGUACAGCACACGCCUUAUUACCUUCUUGUGAAGUUCAGCAGUUUGCAAAGGCAUCAAACAAAAGCCGGAUACAGCCUACGUCUCACCAGGAACUGACGUGCUACAAACCACGAGGUAGAAAUCAAACAUGACAGCUUCGCCUCCUAGAUAAAAACAGAGUGGUCUCUUUAUAUCUCAUCCACUGAUUAGAGAUACGUGGCUUGGGACAGCAGAGCUGUAGAGGGACUAGUAUAAUCUGAAAUCCUAUACAUUUUUAACCUGCUCAGCCCUGCCCCCUUAUAAAACAGGCAUUUCAGCUGCUGUUUCUGUUAAUUGGAUGUGCUCUUAAAUGUAAAUGAGAAAAACCACAUUAAAGCCUCUCAAGAUUCCAGAUAA